rnacentral:lncRNA from 1 species
UUCUACGAAAUCUACUAUUAUAACCGUAGCCUUCCAGUUUAGGGAGGCAUGGGUUUAUUCUCUUUGUUUUAAAGACUAUAAAUUUUAAGAUGUCUCCUUUUUUACUCUGAGAAUAUAAAACAGGUAAAGGGAGACAUUUUAAAAUUGUAAAAUUGUGGUUCUUAAAAGAUUUCUUUUGAAAUCACAGCUCCAAGCUGCUGCCACGGAUCCACCAAACUGCUUUUGGCUUCCACGGGGCUUCAUCAAAUGGCUACUCGGACGUGGGGCAUUGGGAUUUUAAAGUAGUGUUCUAAUUCCAGUGGUGUAUCUUAGAUCCACGCUUUGUGAUUCAAAUAUGUUAUGAAGGCGUUCUUUGCACCGUGUGUGUGUAAAUCUCCAUUUAUAUAUAGUUGGAAAAAAAAAUCACCAAAUAAUGUUUUAAUGAUAGGGUAUCAUGAUAUACUGUAAAAAAUAAAAAUUGGGUCCUCAGCACUACAGAAAGUAAACUAUAUAUGUGCUCCCUGGAAAGCCCUUCAUACUGUGUAUAAAGUUGCAGUCUAGUGAAAUAAACUGUAUGCAAUGGACAGUC